AUGACUUUCCAUCAUAUGGCAUGUUGUCUGGUUGGGGUACGCAUGGCAAAAUGGGUUUCCCGCAUUGCAUGGCAUACACCAACGCGUUUACGUUGGAUAAGGGGGGGGGGGAGCUCGUGGUUUAACUGUCACGCAUAUUCCUACCAACAAAUCAUCCCUAUAGAAGAAACAAGACACAUUUUAAAAAAGACGAACGAGUAUCAGAUCUGUCUCCGCCUCGAUUGUCACCAGGUGAUAUAUGGAACCAAGUUUGUGAACUACCAAAAUUUACAGAUACUUGCAAAGCAUGUAGAAUUGAAGGAUAUGGAGUCAGACACAAUUGGACAAAAAGAAGUAUAUUUUGGGACCUCCUGUAUUGGAAAGAUAAUUUGUUGGACCAUUAUCUUGAUGUUAUGCAUAUUG